rnacentral:rRNA from 1 species
UACGAAGGGGGCUAGCGUUGUUCGGAUUUACUGGGCGUAAAGCGCACGUAGGCGGAUCUUUAAGUCAGAGGUGAAAUCCCAAGGCUCAACCUUGGAACUGCCUUUGAUACUGGGGAUCUUGAGUCCGGGAGAGGUGAGUGGAACUGCGAGUGUAGAGGUGAAAUUCGUAGAUAUUCGCAAGAACACCGGUGGCGAAGGCGGCCCACUGGUCCGGUACUGACGCUGAGGUGCGAAAGCGUGGGGAGCGAACAGG